AUGCAACAGCGCAAGUAUGUUGCAACGAGGAUGCAUCUCUUAAAAAGCACGUCCAAUGAAACUCAAGGUUUUGUUGCUUUUCGUAUGUUCUUUUUGGUAUGUAUCCAAUGGAACUUAAGGUUUUGUUGCUUUUUGUAUGUUCUUCUUGGUAUGUGCAGGAGUGACUUUGUGCCAGAGGAUGCAGCCAACAACCAGAGAAGAUAUCCAACUAAUCAUUCAUUCUGCUGGUAUAUAAAUUAUGGAACCAAUAAUAAUAAAAGUCUAGGAUUCCUUUAUCUUUCGCAGCCGCCGUCAUUUGUCCGCCUCGUUUCCGAUGGUUCUAUUCUUGGUGGAUUUUCACGGAUCUGA
rnacentral:rRNA from 1 species